GCUGGCUCCCUGCACCAGGCCCCAGGGGCAGGACGGAGCAGUGAGGGGCCUGGGAGAGGAAUGUGCAGCUGGGGCUGGGUGGGAGUGCAGGAGACAGAUGGGGUGAGAGCUGGGUGGCAGCCCCAUGCUGGUGCCACCCAGCCUGACAGCCCCUCCAGGAGCCACCCCGCAGUCAGCCCCCCACUGGCGUCAUCCUGGUUCCGUCUCUUUCUGCUUCCCCAGAACCUCCCCGUGACGGCUCCUGCCCUGACGCGCUGGUUCCUCGGGGGGCCUCCCACCAGCCUUGCGGUUUCGUAGCUUUCCUCGCCUCCUGGCUUCCCCCGGUCUUAUCUCGCCCCAGCAUCCGCGGCAGCAGCAGGGCCCCGCGCCAUGGCACAGCGGAACCGAGAGAUGAGCAAGAGUGGAGAAGCCGUAGGAGGAUCUGAAAUGGCCCCAGGUGCGGAAGGCUCCUGGGAGAGGAUGGGUUGUUGGGAUGCCGCUCUGGUGGAUCAGAGCCCACGUCCCGCUCGUCCAGUCUCUGACAAGGACCAGUGCCAGAUUAGUCAGAGCAAGGUGCAAGAAACCUCCUCUGCCCUAGUGUUCGAGAUUAGCUAAAAACCUAACAUUUAAUCACUUCCCAAACAUACCUGAGCAUAAACUCCAGCUGGUUGUGUGACCCCCGCUACAAUGUGUUCAAUGUUUCUUUGAACCUUACUCCAUUCUUGACUUCUGGGACAUCAUGUGGCAAGGAGUUCCACAGGCUAAUUACACAGUGACAUGCGGGAGAGGGAGUAUUUCUCUAUUUUUUGUAUUUGCCAUCUUUUAGCUUGAAGGAUUAUGUCCCUUCUCUCCCCCUGAUUUCCUCCAAGGAUGUGAAUGGAAGCAACAGGGAGGUGCUCUCACCCAGCAGACCCAGCUCAAUGCUGCUGCUAACGUGACCAGCCAUGAAGCACUUACUCCUAACACUGGCUAAGGCCUUGCCCCCAAAGCUGGUUUCACCCACCCAGGGCUCAGGGCACAUUUGGGAGCCUGAGCUGCCACCAUUAGGCUCCCGAUUCACCACCCCAAGAAAGCCCCAGGUCGCAUGCCCCAUUCUCCCUGGCCCAGGAGAGAGAAUGAACCCUGCCCUAAGCAGCAUGACUCAAGCUGUCCAGUGCAGCUGGAAGGUGCUCCCCUGCUGAGGACUGGAAAGCCCCUGUACUGGGGAGAAGGGCUGGUCCCUGCUGAGACCAUGGGCUGAUGCCCAGCACCAUAGUGGUAGGCAGCUUUCUGAAGACUUACAAAGCAUCUCCCAGCAGGGCAGGGUCCUAUCCGCCUGAGUGCAGCAUAGCAAUGGCCCAGUCCUCAGUGCCUCAGGCCGGGCAGAGGGUCCGCUUCCAGCCAGGCCCCUAGGCCACGGAAAGCUGGUGCUUAAGCCUACUCCUUUAGCUGUCACCAGGGAAUGAGCCUGGACAGCAUCAUGCACCAUCCUAGAAGCAUCGGAUACACCAACCUCUCUUCCCUCCAGCAGGAGCAGAGGCCCCGACUUGGUGCCGUAGGAGAGACAUUCGUCAUGGUCAGAACCCUCUAAACCACACUCCAGCUGCUUUCAACAAACUGAAAGGAAAAUUAGCCAGUCUGACAUUUCUAACAAGCCUUCAGCCCAUAGGAUUCCAAAGCAUGGUGUCCAGCAUCUAACUUUGCACCUACCACGGAAAUACAGCCAAUUCAGGGGAGGAUAAGUCAUAUAGCCGUGGACUGCAACAGCUUAAGGCAGGGAAUCUCCUAUGCAAACUCUGUGACGAUGUGACUCAGCAGGGAGGGGGGAGUGUUGACCUGGGAAUGUGCCCUGGGGAGGGGAGACCUGAGAGCCUGUCACCUGAGCCAGGAGGGGGAGGGGGAGGUGACACCUCUGCCCGGGAAUGUGGACGGAGGCUGCAGCAGGGAACCUGCUGGGGGGUUUAGUUUCAGUUUGGGGCUGGGUGGAGGAACGCAGGCAGCCCCAGGGCUGGGGUCUAAGCUCCCUGCUCCCCCAGAAGGACUCGACUGAGGGGUCCUGGGUGUACCCACAAGCUCUGUUUUGGACUGUGUUCCUGUUGUCCAAUAAACCUUCUGUUUUA